UACGUAGGUGACAAGCGUUGUCCGGAUUUACUGGGCGUAAAGAGCGCGCAGGCGGUCGAUCAAGUCGAGUGUGAAAGCCCCCGGCUCAACUGGGGAGGGUCAUUCGAUACUGAUCGACUCGAAGGCAGGAGAGUGUAGUGGAAUUCCCGGUGUAGUGGUGAAAUGCGUAGAUAUCGGGAGGAACACCAGUGGCGAAGGCGACUACCUGGCCUGUUCUUGACGCUGAGGCGCGAAAGCUAGGGGAGCAAACGGG
rnacentral:rRNA from 1 species